rnacentral:sRNA from 1 species
AUAAUAAAGUUAUAAAAAUACCCUCAAGACUCUGGUCGUCGUUACCGUUCAAACGACAGAGAGAAUAGAAGAAGACUAGCCGGAGAACCAAAAUCGAACGAUAACCGUUACACUAAUAAACUUGCCCUAUCAUCUUAUCUUUCAUGGAUUCACUUCCUCACAAAUUCUCAGGUGUUUUAUUUUAUCUUUACUUAUCCUAUAAAUCUCUAGGGUUUCUUCUAUCCAAUUCAUUUCUCACCUCAUAAAUU